GAUCCUGGCUCAGGAUGAACGCUAGCGACAGGCCUAACACAUGCAAGUCGAGGGGCAGCGGGGAGGUAGCAAUACCUUUUGCCGGCGACCGGCGCACGGGUGAGUAACACGUAUGCAAUCCACCUGUAACAGGGGGAUAACCCGGAGAAAUCCGGACUAAUACCCCAUAAUAUGGGCGCUCCGCAUGGAGAGUUCAUUAAAGAGAGCAAUUUUGGUUACAGACGAGCAUGCGCUCCAUUAGCCG
rnacentral:rRNA from 1 species